ACCCCCCCACCAAACAAAACAACAACAAAAAACCAAACAGGACGAUUGGCUGCUGCCCUUCACGGAAGUUCAUCGCAAAUCAAACCACCUUGUUCAAAUACUGUUGAACUUCUGUGCAAAUUGGAAAAUGGUGUUGGAAACUCAGGGUCCAGGCUUGCUUUGGCCUUGCUCGUCACGUGAGGACGUCUGGGCGAGCGAACUGAGUAGUAGCGAUUGUUCGCGUCUCCACCCGACACUCGGGAAACGAGCAGAAUGAGCCAGGGUGAAGGGUCCCCUCCACUGACAGGUUUGCGUUCGUGCCCUACUCUUCGUAAAACCGUAACUCAGGGUGGAUUUAAGUCAGUGGGGUGGCCCGUUCCCUCUCUCCCUGUGAGGCUACUUUGCACCAAGCCAGCAGCUACAACAGCAGAAUUCUGUUAGUUCAGCUCUUAGCAACUUCCGCACAACACUUGGUUAGUAUUCAAGUGACCCAGCCGACCCUCCUCGACAUACAGGUGGUGGGGGAGCCGCAGCCCGGGACUGGCUGCAUGGAUCUGAGGCUGGUUUGGUGUGUUCUUUUAUAAGCUCUGUUAUGUGGUAUUUUCACUGGAAAAAUAUCUCAAGCUAGAUAGAUAAUGUGGCAAAAGGGACUCUUAAAAGGAAGAUCAUUUUUCUCUAUGCAAAACAAGUUUUUUCAGCCAGGAUCCCCUUAAAAAUACCCCAGGCCUCCAGCAAAAGCUGCCCCAGUUCCUUUACUUUUCCAAAAGGGAAGCACAUUUUGGAUGCAAGCUUCCUGCUGGGGCAGAAUUCCAACGGACAAUACGGUUAUUUUUCAGUUAGAAAUUAAUCUGCUUCCCAGAGCAGGCUGCUAGGGUGUGACUGCAAUUUGAGCUGCAGAACUUGAAAAGGGACCUCAGGACUGUCUGGAGACAGAAGAGCUACCGGUUACAAACCCUCAGUAAGCCAAGCUCAGUUCCAGAACUUGUGGGUCGAUCCUCCUAUAAAGACCACAGGGCAGUGAGCCUAUCACCAACCAUGUGGGUUACAGUCGCUGCAGGGUAUCCUGUGUGACCGAAGCCAAAUGCUAAACCUGGCUGCAUUUUAUUGGAUGGGUGAUGGAAGGAGGGGGGGGGGGGGGGGGCGGGGAUCACUGUCAGAAGGGAGGAAAAUAUGGGUGGGAGCCGCCAACCAAAGUCCCCCCACCCCCCUCGCUCCCCCAACGAAAAGGAGGGGAGAAAACCCUUUCCCUCGGGUCAUCUAGGGUUCCCGGGCCUCAGCCAGCUUUGCAGGAGGCGCACAGAAAGCUUGCUUUUGGUCUGGUGGUCGUGAGCUAGAAUCUGUUGCCUUUGGUUGCUCUCUUCACUCCACGGCAAACCCGCAAGUCUCCUCCACGGCCGUCAGCAGCUUCUCGUAGAGCUUCUCGUACGACUCGUAAGGUGGAAUGUCGAUCCGAUUAAAGCUGAAAGAGGACAAAAGAGCGACAGAGUCACUGCUGGGGCCAUCUGGACCUAGGCCCUGGUCCAGGCGGGAGCAGAGCAUUCAGGGCCUCGAGCUAGCAGCGUGUGAGUAUACAGGCGGAUGGGGCCAAGCAUCUCAUCGCCCAGCUGGGGUGGGGGGUACAGGCAAGUUUUCCACUCCCCCCUGGUGCUUUUCUGUUUCGAAAGCAAAGAUUUUUCAUGGAACACAGAACAAAAUAAGUCCUAAGAUCUUGAAAGCCAAAAUUAAACCGAUUACUAUGUCCUGGUUAUAUCAGGACAAAGAUCCUUCCUGAUGCACUGGUGGUUGUCUUCUUCGCAUGUGGACCCCCGUAAUCCAGACUGGCCGACUGUCGGAUCACCACUGACAAUCCACUGCCUGUCUGUCUAAUCCUCCGUGACUUGACCUGAGACCAAAUGGGGCAGUCUGGGAUGUUUCCUGCAGAAACAAACUAUUAUCUCAAAACUAGUAAAACGUCAAAUCUCUGAUAGGAGGAGAUAAAUCAACAUUUCCCUGGAGAAAUUCUAGUGUUGUAUUAAAAAAAAAGAAAAGAAAAGGCAUCCUUUAAGAAGGAUAUUCUCUCCUAAUAAGUCAAAACAUACAAAAUUCUGACCAAGAUAGUGACCUACUGAAUUACUAGCGGUCAAGCAGUUAAGGAUGGUUUUUGUCAAGAAAGAACUGGGCUGGGGCGCCUGGGUGGCUCAGUCGGUUAAGUGGCCAACUUCGGCUCAGGUCACGAUCUCGCGGUCCAUGAGUUCGAGCCCCGCAUCGGGCUCUGUGCUGAUGGCUCAGAGCCUGGAGCUUGUUUCAGAUUCUGUGUCUCCCUCUCUCUCUGCCCCUCCCCCAUUCAUGCUCUGUCUCUCUCUGUCCCAAAAAUAAAUAAACGUUAAAAAAAAAUUAAAAAAAAAAAAAAAAAGAAAGAACUGGGCUAAACCGUGUGAUAGUUUUUUUCUUAAAGUUGGGACUUCAGCAUCUGAGGACAGUUCUCACAUCCGUUUUAUUCAACUAUGAAAGGGCAGAGUCCUAGGGAAGAAAGCGGCUGCCGUGGGUCAACACAAUGCUGUGUCUGUAACGGCCAUGCGGGGCUGGGCGCCACAGCCUCGGUAGGGCCUUGGCCAUGUAAGCACUUGAACCCACACCCCUGGGUUCCCAAUCAGGAAGCUUCUGUUGCAAUGUUACACAUCUCGAUGGCAAGGAACCGGCUCUCGCGAACCAGACACGCUGGUCUUUUUGAUACGUGGUUUCUGAGACAAAGCGUACGUAAGUGACUUGAUUUUUAAACUGCAAGGGAAAAUCAUCUGCUACAGGUAUGAGUGAUGUUAAAAUUUAGUAAAGUUAAGAAGUUUUCAAUGUGCAAGAUGCAUCCAUCACCAAGUUCCAAGAAGGAAAACACAGGAAGCCAAAGACUGGGAACUCCGGAUUGAAAAUGACAACUCCCCCGCAGGGAGGUACGUGUGUGCACACACGCGGCCCAGCAAAGGCAAGGCUGGAGCUGCCGAGUGCCAGCCGCCGUUAAUCACAUCUCACGACAAAACGGGUUUCACGAAAGAGACUUCUGAUAACCCUCAUGUGACACACGGCCAAGCGCUCAUCCCACCUGACACUGGUUCCACGGCCAGUUGUCCUGGGGCGCAGGUAAAGGAAGCACGGGGAGUCACGCGCGGGGUGGCAGGCGCAGGGACAGGCUCCCCGCGAUGCCACAGCGAGGUCCUUACCAGGUGUGGGCCUUCGGAAGGUUGUCUGUGUUGGCGUCGAUCAGGUGGAUGGUGAAGAGCCGGGGCCCUGCCGCGCCUGUAGAACCUUACGAGACAACAUUCUAGUUAAUGCACUUCAGAGGCGGGCCCUGGGCCCCACUGCCAACCACACCCUCGGCCCGAUGCCCGGGCAGGUCGUCCUGCCGGACGGUCGUGGGCUUCCCGCGGCGGCAUAGCCUGCACCUGGGUUAGGACACGCUGACCGUCCAGCGACCUAUCCCAGCCAUUCUAGAAAAUCGCAGGGGCAGAGACGCGUGAGAGCUCUCCUCCUGGACCCUGGCCGUGGGCCCACUCAAGUGGGGAUAUUUGAAGGACAAAAUCCUUAAAUCACCAGUGACGGUUUUUCUUUUUUUUAAACAAGAUGUUUAGCAAGUGGGCCCGCCCCUGGCAGAGGACAGCAGGGUUAUGACAAAAGCACGAUACACAGUCAUGAAUCCCCCAGGCGGAGGGACGGUGGGAAAAGAAAAAGACACAAACACCUAGGACAACAGCCCAGGGGGAUGGAAGUAGCUUCUGUCACUCAAAGAAGUUCUUCAAAUCUGGAAAAGUCUACAGGGAAUGUUCUCUACAUGAAAUACACCUGCUAUCUCUAGGAACAUGCAAAGGUCCAUCUGCUACAUUUUAACAUACUAACAUUCUUCACCUUUUUCCUUCUGGCUCUCAGGGUUAUCAAAAAUCUGGAUAUCAGGUUUUUUAUCAGCGUCGGAAGGGACCAGAGAGGGGAUGGGUACCUACACCAGACAGCGGAGCCUCUCAGGCAGUGCCUCUGCAUAGAGGAGGAAACCGAGGCUCAGGAAGGACCCCUGGAGCUCAUGACCAACACGGCAGCAGGAGACUCCAUCUCCUGGCGCUCAGGCCGGGCCGCUCUCACCUCAGGGCUGCAGUGAGACGGCUGCUACCAGAAGACUCAGGAACGAAUCCAUGGUGCACUUUAGAACCUCUAAUUUCUUUCCCCAAAGCCUUGCUGCUAUUUGUACCCUCCCUCUGUCCCCCAGUUCUGUAGGGGUGGGGGAGGGACCGGCUCCAUGGGGUCCUUCUUCGCUCAGGUCUCGCCCAACUCAGCCCUGGGCGGGCACCAGGCUGGCCAGCCCCCGCCACAGCUGCGCGCCCCAGAUGACACCCCGCCUGCUGGGCACGUGGCCUGCUGGGCACGUGGCCUGCAGGGACACCGAGAAAGGUGGGUUUGACAGGAAGCUGGGCUUUGUUUUGCUGAGAUUCUCACCCCCUUUGCGUCUACAGGUAUCUCCUCUCAGCUUGGGCAGAGGCUAGCACCCCCGGAGCACUGGGGGGCCGGCAGAGAGAAUGGCAACAAGAGGGCCCCCAGGGGUGGGGGCGGCCGCGGCCGCCAGGCGAGCACCUCCACGCCCCCAGCGUUCGCUACGAGAAAACACAGGCCGCGCCACUUCCUAGGAGACAUUUCAGGAAAACACCACCACGGCGGUCCAGCUCUUCCUGCCGUGGCCGGGCAGGGGACAUGCCUGGCGGAGACGCGUGGGGCCAGGAGCCCCGCCUCCACAUCAGUCACCUUGCAAAGCCUUGAAGCCUUGGAGAGGGACCCGAGUGGACCCGGUCACAAACUGCAGCAGCCUGGCCCUCCUCUCCUCAUCGAAGGUCUCCACGGCCUGCCAGAACCAGCGGACGAUGUUGCUGUCGGCCACACAGUGCUUCAGCCGAGUGUUGGACUUCCAGUCGCUCACGUCGAUCUUAUCCAGGCCGCCUAUGAUCAGCUGCGAAGGCGUUUAGAGGCAAGUUAUUUCUCAGACGUACAGACCGGGUCAUGGCAGCCUCCCAGGUUCCCAGCGUCUGAAAGGAGGGAAUUCGUGGCGUCCGAAUAAACUAGCCAGAGACUCAGACAAGCGGAGAGGGAGACGGGCCCACGCUCCCAACAGCGCCUUUUCUUACAACCAGGUCUGCUCUCCUCAUCCGCGAGGAGUCAGUACCAAAGGGCCGACCGGCGAGACUGAAGGGGCUGACUGUAAAACGGGGCCACCUCCCCGGGACCCCAGGGGCCGUCACAGCAGGGCUGGGAGGGGAGUGGUGUGCGAGUUUCUGCACCGGGUGGGAGGCCCACCCGGAGCUGCUGCCCGCCCACGGAGGCGCCUCGCCGCGGCAGAAAGACAAGGAUUUCAAAGCCGUGAGCCACUUGGCACGGACGUGGGUAAGGGAUGAAUGAGUCUCUAUGUUCACACACGCGAAGUGGGACACGAGAAGACAAUAACACUUUGUGCGGAGUCUAAUAAUAGCUAGAACAGAAACACAAAGUUGACGUGCUGGCAGAAUCUGGUUAUACGCGAGAGAAUUUCCUCGAUCCGAGGUAAAUACGUGGGAGGGGUUUGGAAACCGCCACGGCUGGAGAUCUUGAACAUGAGGAUAAGCCACAGGACACCCCGAACAAUGUCCGGAGAAUGAUCUGGACUCGUUGCCGCCAAGCAGACACCUGUCCUUGUCAUAAGCAGGCUCAGACGCCCUCGACACCCCGCUCGCUCUAGGCCUGUUCGUCGGGAGCCCCGACAAACCCCCGGCCUUGCCGCGGGGACAGACAAGCCUCAUUCUGCAGGCAGGUUGUAAAACAAGAAAACGCCGAUCUCACUUGCGCCCUUUAAUGCCUCCUUGGCUCGGCCCGGUGAGCACGUACCUCCAGUUCCUUCUGGUCAAACGGCUUCAGUAAGUGUUGAGGAAUGAGUUCAUUAAACCCCUUCUGAAGAGCCAAGAACUGGGCUUCAAUCCCCCGCAUGAACCUCCAAUUUACAUACAACCUGAGAAACAAAUUCACAAGUUGGAGGCAGCAUCAAGUGGUUCAUGAAAAAAAAAAAAGUUUUCUCCACAGAAGGUUCUGACAUCUGAACCUGGCACCCUGCCUGCCGGGCCUCCCCUGGGGGCGGGAGGAGGGGGCGGAGGUGGGGGCAGAUGGGACGAAACCCCCACCGGCCGACGUUGCCUAGCCUCAGUAUCAGGGUAAAAAUAAGUUAGCACAGGCCCUUACACAUGCUGAUGCUUCGCUAAAAAUAGCUGUAGGAAUUAACCUGACCUGUUAGAGCAAGUGCCAUAACUGAAAAGUAGACCUGAAAAUGACACACAGGAUACCGUGGGAACACGCGCCAGUCUGGCAGCCUCCGCACACGGACACGCCCGCAUGCUUCCAACUCCCCAGUGCGAGCGACUGGCCGUUUAUUUGCCUGAAGAGGUAGGCGCCUGGACGGCUCAGCUGGUUAAGGGUCCGACUCUUGAUUUCAGCUCAGGACACGAUCUUAUGGUUUGUGGGAUCGAGCCCCACAUCAGACUCUGAACUGACAGCGCGGAGCCUGCUUGGGAUUCUGUCUCUUCUCGCCCUGCCCGACCCCUGUCUGCUGUCUAUCUCAAAAUAAACAUUAAAGAAAAAAAGAAGAGAAAACAAACUACUAUGGAGUAGACUUCCUCGAGACUGAUCUCAAGGAAACUUCUAGGCUUCUAUUCUCUCCUGCGUUCACCACCUUCACACCCAGAAUUGGGAGGUCACCUGCAAUCCCUUCCCCAGCUUGGGCUCUGGAGUCAUUAUCCUCCCUUCAAUGGGCCGGCUCUGGUGGCACCAGGGGCACCUCUGUGCACAGCCCCCAACACUGAACCCGACCGUUGCUGAAAGUCUGUUCUGUUCCUGGGAUUCUGGUCAUAGGUGCCGGCAGGGAAGGGAAGCCUCAAACAGCCAAGGAGCCUUGACAACCUAAAUGUGAACCCAGCCUUGCCCAGAUGGUCCCAGGCACCUGGAUGUCCCCGCUGGCAACUUCCAAGGUUCCCCAGAACAUUACCGGACAUAUUCUUUCUUGUUGUCCUCUGUGACAGGAACGUUGCGACCAUUGGGUUUCAGUUCAUGCUGAAGAAUCCUCCCGAAAGCAUUGUGUUCCACACAGAAAGUGUGGUCUAGCACAGGGGUGAUAUCAUUCUCUCUGUUGAAGUUAAGACACAAGAUGGAUGUCGGACCUCUGCCAGCAUGCAGCAGAGAACAGAACCUUAGACGGAACGUUCCGGGAAAAAGACGGCACUUCCUGUCCAUCACCCCAGAUCUGCAGGGGGGGACGAGGAAAACCUAGGGCCCAGAGCACGUGUGAGGGCAGGGGUGCGGGUACUGAAGGGGUACCACAGCUCCACUCUGCAUGUGCCCAGACUCUGGGCUCCCUCAUUCACAGGGAGGUGAUGGUAGCUCUCUCGUUCUGGGAUUUUAUGAGACACGGUGGCCUGACUGCCUUGUAAACUGAGUCUCCGAACAGAAGGAUUCACGAAGAGGAAACGGGGUCAAAGGAAAAGCAACCUGCAGAAGACACACCUAGAAAACAUUCGCAAGCCCUCCUUUAGGGCAGCCAUUCCAAAUGCAUCCAUUCAAACAAAGUAGCACUUGGAAGUUCAAGUGGACUCCUCUGCCCCCCCGCAUUUGCUGAGACGCAAGCAGAGUAAACGAUUUUGUACAGGAUGGAGGCCCUAACCCCCCCGGACUACCCAUUUCCAGCUGGGGCACGUGAAGUGAGGCCGACCGGCACUUGGGGUGCAGCGGCUCCAGCUCCCCCUCUCGCUCUCCCCCUGCAGAGCCUGGAUCUCUCCCUCCUGUGAAAUCGGCUCCUUCACAAGGACCCGCAACCCCCGCGGUUACCACGUGACUGUGCCGACAGCUUCCAAGAGAGUUCUAGGAUAAUUCUAAAACAAAGUCGACUAAAUAUAGUUUUUCCUGAUACUUUCUCUUACUAUCAAAUUCUCUGCCACUAAUUUUGUGUUGGGUGCUUUCCCUCUCGAGAUUCACUGGAGAGUCCAAAACAAAACCCACCACCCACCUAUCAGGCCUGGGGAUUAAUUUUGUGGCCAGACCUUAAUAAUUUGAGGAAGAAAUUAGUCUAUGAAGUGAAACUGGCCAAAUGUCAUGAAGGAAGAAAGUCAACUGAGUAUUUCUUGUUAAAUCCACUUUUAUGUUUUUGGCUGUAAAACAGCAUUUUCUUUACUUCUCUUCCCUGACUUCACACCCAUCCCUCGAAAACAUUCACAUGCACGCACACAUGCACACAAAACAAUUGUAUCUGGUGGACAGUAAGAUGGGUGAGGCAUCUUCCAUCAACUGAACAGUGAGUCGGUACUUACAGAAUCCACACUAAGCUCUUAUGGAGUUCUGGGUCCACCGACUCCAAAUCAGAGAGCUGGAUGGGUUUCCCCAGUAGCUGCUUAUAGAAGGGAACCGUGAAGCCCCCGUUUAUGUAGUGUCCGUGGAAUACGGCGAGACCCAUGAUCCGACCCACGAAAUGGAAAUAAGACAGAUGGUCCUGUAGGGGGCACCAGAGAACACAUUUAUUAGGAAAAUGACCAGCCAGGGUGGAUACCUUGUGCUUUCUCCAAGCUUCUUGGGAGACCUGUCCCAUGGGCAACCCAACACUGACUCAGUUGCUCACAGGUUGUGCUCACGAUCAAAGGAAAGAAGGCUGGUUAGGGAGUCAAAAUUCAGAGCAUGCGUUUUGUAUAGAUCAUCUGAACAUUUUACAUGCCCUUCGUUCAAACAUGUCCUCAGAACUGCUACAUCAUUUGUGGUACUCAGCCUAAAAGGAAAAUGCAGAACUCUUUGCUCAAAAAUUAUUAAGAAUUUCAACAUGGCAGCCACGGAGAAUCAAACCAACACAGGCGCUUCUAAGUGCCAGGCGUCCAGGUAGCCGGCCCCCCGUUUUCCCCACUGCACUACAAACAGAGCAGGGGGCAAUUCUCCCUGAGUCCCAGGAGAAAGCAGAAGAGAAGAAAAUCCAAAGGAAAUAAAAAACCAAAGAGGAACAUAGAGGAAAAUAAUGGACAGCCCAAGUAACAGAAUCAUUCUAAAACCAGAGCUGUUCUGGUUUUUAACUGGGGAACCUCACAUCUCUGCUUUCCAGGUGGAAUUAUAAGCAGAAUUAAUGAAAACCCCAUUUCCAUUUCCUGCUCUACCUUUCAGUGUCUAUUUACCAGAGACUGAGUAAGUCCACAAUGGAUAAACCAAGGACUGACACUGGACCUGGAAAUCUAGCUAGAGAACUUUCCAAUUCGCCCUCUCUUUAUUCAUGGGUACUUACGGGGUUGAUCGAAGAAUCCGGGUUGAUUUGCAACAUGUAAAUGUUGUCCGUAGAAUACUGGAAGAGUCCAUAAUACGGAUUCAACAUUUCAUGGCACAAUAAAUAGAGCCACUCCCUAGGAACAACAAAAUGACAACCAUUUUAUAUGUGUGAAAAUGUCCAGUUUAGGUCUUACCAAAAGGACUGACUCCCUGGGUCCUAGAAGGCCACACUGCGGGAUAACCAGGCCCUGAGAGAAGGUGUAGAUGAGGCAGAUUAGUCUGAGGAAGUAACAACUUGCGUCCGGUCGUCUGAGAAAUGGCUUUUCUGGCCCAAACUCCCACGGUGGCUCCGAAGCCGAGGAAGAACGGCGGUGGGCUUCACCCGGCACCACCUGCUACGGGCAGUGCUCUCGGCAGGGGGACUCAUCAGCCUGCCAGAACCUCAGCUAAGGUGUUCCCUGGGACUCUGCAGAGACCAGAUCUCAGGUGAUGAUGUCAAUCGUGUGGUUCCAAUGGACAAAAGAGCAAUUAAUAAAGAGCAGUCAUAUCCUACUUAUAAAGGGUGUGCGUGCACGCGUGUAUGUACACAAAACAGGAAAGAUCUAUAUGCAGAGCAGAGAGGAAGAGGAGGAGGAAGAGGAUUUACACAGACACUUGGACAGUAGUUAACUUUAGAAUCAGCAUUCUGGGGGAUCUUCAGUUUUCUUUUGCCUCUUGCUAGAGAGUUUUUACAUUUCCGACAGGAACAUGUUAUUCACAUUUAAGUGAGGAGAAAACAGUUUGCAGUCCAGGCAGACAGGGAUUGAGAACGACUUUCACCCUUUAUGACUUUCUUUUAAAAAAAAUUUUUUUUAACAUUUAUUUAUUAUCGAGGGACAGAGAGAGACAGAGCAUGAGCAUUGGGGGGUGGGGGGGGUGGGCAGAGAGAGGAGGAGACACAGAAUCCGAAACAGGCUCCAGGCUCUGAGCUGUCAGCACAGAGCCUGAUGCAGGGCUUGAACUCACAAACCGCGAGAUCAUGACCUGAGCCGAAGUCAGACGCUUAACCGACUGAGCCACCCCGGCGCCCUUACCUUUUAUGACUUUCUAUCUUGUCGAUUCUACCUUUUGUCAUAAACAUUUAUCAUUUUUAUAAUUUUAAAAAACAAGCUGAAUCCAUAACAAGAUAUAAUUUCAUGAGUUCUGAAAUCUGGACGAGAUACAUAAGAAUAAAUUAUUUUUGGAAUCCCUUUAUAUUCCAAUCAUUUCAUUAUGUAUUAAAAAACAAAACAAAACAAAAAGCCCCAAAUCAGAAACAUCCAACAGGGGCGCCUGGGUGGUUCAGUUGGUUCAGCGUCUGACUUCAGCUUCAAUUCAGGUCAUGAUCUCACAGUUAUGUGAGUUCGAGCCCCACACUGGGCUCUCUGAUGUCAGCAUGGAGCCCACUAAAGAUCCUCUGUCCCCCUCUCUCUGCCCCUGUCCCGCUCACGUGCACACUCUCUUUCAAAAAUAAAUAAACAUUAAAAAAAUUUUUUUAAGAAACAAUCGUAUGGAAGCCAAUUUGACAAUUAUAAUUUUUUUUGAAAAAAUAAAAAAAAAAAUACAUAAAUAAAAUUAAAAAAGAAACAAUCCGGCAAAACAAGCACUCUCAACAGCAUCUGUGUGAUUUGGCUCCAGGGUCAGGGGCGAGAAGCCCAGGACCGGGAAAAAGCAUAUGCAAACACCUGUGUCACUUCUACAGUGACCCUUUUAUUCUUUCUACUCAAAUCUCCUUUCUAGGGGCGCCUGGGUGGCGCAGUCGGUUAAGCGUCCGACUUCAGCCAGGUCACGAUCUCGCGGUCCGGGAGUUCGAGCCCCGCGUCGGGCUCUGGGCUGAUGGCUCAGAGCCUGGAGCCUGUUUCCGAUUCUGUGUCUCCCUCUCUCUCUGCCCCUCCCCCGUUCAUGCUCUGUCUCUCUCUGUCCCAAAAAUAAAUAAACGUUGAAAAAAAAAAAAAAAUCUCCUUUCUAAUGGAUACAUUUCGUUAAGACAGCAGCCCCAGAUUUUAUUCUGGAAUUUCUUACUCUGUCAAACACAAAAGGCAUGGAAUUGAGAUCAACCAGGAAAAGGAUGAGCACACGUGCAAACGAUCCAAGGCAACGGUGACAAUACACAGAAAGGAUCAGACUGCAAAAGAUUACGUAUCGAACUCAAGAGAACAGAAAGGAACUGGCAGAAACCAGGAGACUCCAAAUGUCACACAAUUCUUUACUAGAAAGGCAGAAUUUCCCGGCUAUAAGACCAAGGUUGAGAGUUUGGGUUUGAGAGGAAUCCUUUUCAAAAGCCGAGGACCUGCAACUGUCUAGACAGGAAGUGAUCAAAACACAAGCAAAUAUUCUGACCGAGUCACGCACAAGGGAGGGAGGCGUAUUAGGGAUGUUAAGGAAGUGGUGAGGGGAGAGCUAACUAUACAGGCAAAAGGGAUUUUUAACGAUACAGGAAAUGGUUGAGAACCAAACACCGGGGAAGUGAGUGUAGACUGAUUCUCAUCGGCCAGAUGAUGAACGAACACACACACACACACAGACACACACACACACACACACACACGUGAUUUAAAUCUCUCUGCAGCUCUCUGAGACAGGUCUGAUCCCCUGUGGAUGUGAGGAAGGAUCUGAGGGGUGAAACAAUGCAAGAUCACACUGGAGUAGGAAACCCAGGACUCACAGCUCUUUCCGCUAGACCACCGUGUCAACCAAGGGACCUCCAAAAAGGCCUCUCUGUGUGGAAGACUGGAUAAAAACUGGGACAUGCAGAAGGAACAGAACUCCUAUCAGAUCAAACCGAGCUAUUCACAUGCGUGCCUGGGGAUACAUAAUACAGCCACGCUAAGACGGAUGGUAGGUUGGAACAGUUGAGGGUCCUGAAUUCCUGAGACUGUAAAGGAAAUAGCAGAGAAGAGAAAAUGCAAGUAGUCUGAUUUGAACUGUUGGGGCAAACACGAACAUCUAACUAGGAAGCUUCUCACCUAAAAAGGGGGCAGAAAGCCUGAUCCACUUGGCAGGAAACAGAACUCGCUUCAUCACGGGCAAACAGAAGUUACGUUUGCCAAAAGAAAGACGGUUUCUAGAAUCAAGAUGGAGAUGAUUAAGGAAGAACUCUGGGACAGUCUUUUUUGUUUGUGUUAAUGUUUUUUUUUUUUUUUAAUUUUUUUUUUCAACGUUUUUUUAUUUUAUUUUUGGGACAGAGAGAGACAGAGAGGGGCAGAGAGACAGGGAGACACAGAACCGGAAACAGGCUCCAGGCUCCGAGCCAUCAGCCCAGAGCCCGACGCGGGGCUCGAACUCACGGACCGCGAGAUCGUGACCUGGCUGAAGUCGGACGCUUAACCGACUGCGCCACCCAGGCGCCCCUGUGUUAAUGUUUUUAUUUAUUUUUGAGAGCGAGCAAGACAGAGUGUGAGCAGGGGAGGGGCAGAGAGAGAGGGAGACACAGGAUCCGAAGCAGGCUCCAGGCUCCGAGCUGUCAGCACAGAGCCCGACGCGGGGCUCGAGCUCACAAACCACAAGAUCGUGACCUGAGCCAGAGCCCGAUGCUUAACCGACUGAGCCGCCCAGGCGUCCCUGGGACAGUCUUGAAAGGGAAAGCGUUUCCCAUGGAGAGCCAGUGCCCGCUGUGAGCUCACUACUGGGGAGAGGCGUGCCUUUCUGUGCCCUUCAUCCCAGGUGGACUCAGGAGCAGCCGAGGGCAGGAGGAUGAAGGGCAAAGACAGGAGUGGAAAGAAGGUGGAGGAAUGAUUUUCUCCAGGGCCAAAUGGCAGAUCGUGACUUCUAGCUAACACUAACCAGAGUUGGUGUUUUACAUGUAUUUGUGUAAUUCUCUAACGCCUGUACCUCGUCAGAUUGAGAACGCCUUUGGAUGGGGACUUUGGAGGGGUGAAGGGGGCAGAGAACAUGUUACUUUGCUCACUACUGUAUCUCUAGUACCUGGUACAUGGUAGAGUCUCCAUAUUUAAUGGUUAAUAAAUAAACACAAUUCUUACAAGAGCAUACAAAUUUUAGGGGUGUUCUCCUUUAAGAAGAUUCAAUCCUGUAGGGCGCCUGGGUGGCGCUGGUUGGUUGGUUGAGCGUCCGACUUUGGCUCAGGUCACGAUCUCACGGUGUGUGGGUUCAGGCCCCGCAUCAGGCUCUAUGCUGACAGCUCAGAGCCUGGCACCUGCUUCUGAUGCUGUGUCUCCCUCUCUCUCUCUGCCCCUCCCCUGCUCACGCUCUGUCUCUCUCUCAAAAAUACACCUUAAAAAAAAAACAUUUUUUUUAAAGAUUCAAUCAAGUGAAGAUUCAAUCACAGGUAAGAAAUUUUUAAUUUUUAAAGUAUUUUGUUGCAAUGGAAUCAAUAAAUUAGUAUGUUACGAUCACAUAAAAAGUGAAAACGAUGUUGGAGCGGUACAGCCACUGUGGGAAACAGUGUGGAGCUUCCUCAAAAAAUUAAGACUAGAAAUACCAGGCAAUCCAGUAACUGCACUGCUAGGUAUUUACCCAAAGAAAUGAAACCACGGAUUCAAAAAGAUAUACGCACCUCCAUGCUUACUGCAGCAUUAUUUGUAAGAGCCACGCUAUGGAGCAGCCCAAGUGUCCGUGGACAGAUGAACGGAUAAAGAGAUGCGGUAUAUACGCAUGAUGGAAUGUUAAUCACCAAAGAAAGGAGAUCUCGCCGGGUGUGGCAACGCGAAUAGACCUAGAAGGUAUGAUGCUAAGUGAAAUGAGUCAGAGAAAGACAAACACCACAUGGUGUCGCUUUUAUGGGGAAUCUAAAAACACAACAAAACAAAGCAGAAACAGACCCAUAAAUACGGAGGACUGAUGGCUGCCAGAGGGGAGGGUGCCGCGGGGCCGGGCAAAAUGCGUGAAGGGGAGAGGGAGGUCAGAGAGCGCCCCCUGUUGGUGACAGAUGACGGCUACGCUUGUAGCGAGCAGAGUGUUCGACUUUUCAAAACGCUACGUUGCACACCCGAAACUAAUGUAACAUCGUGUGUCAACUAUGCCUCGUGAAAAGUAGGAACUCGGAGAUGAGCGAGUAAAAUCAAAUAGACUGUCUAGAAUCACCACUUUUGUUCACGUAAAGAAAAAAUCCUGAGGCACCGGAAGCUGAACGCUCCUAGAAAGUGGGGGAAAACAAGCAAAGAUGGGAAAUAAAAAGAGAGACCUGGAGGGUCCAUCCAGGGAGUCCAGCAUCUGCGUAACUGGCAUUUCAGAAAGAGCAAAGCGGGGAAACAGAAGAGGGGAAACUGAGCAAGAAGCCGCUGCUGGUUCGGCUGAUCCAGGAGGGAGGUACGCUGGCGUGGCAGGUGCUCCUAGGAGCUGGGGGUUCCGCGAGGAGGGGAUGGGAACUGGGGUUUCAGCGAGGACGGGAAGGCUCCGAGUGCACGCUCUGUGACUGUGGGCCAUGCAGCAGACCGGGGCCAGGGAUCUCGGGAUCUCGGAGUCAGAGAAGGCCCUUUCGGGGGGCGUGCGAGCAGACCCAAGGGAACAGAGGGAAUGGGCUACAUGAGGGUCUCGGAGACACUCUAGGCAGAGGGGAGGUGAAGGCCAAGGCCCGAGGCAGCCACGGCGAGAGUGCAGCAGCCGAGGGAGAGCAGCCAGGGCCGAGCCUGGAGCACCUGCGGGGGUUCAGCUGGGGGUUCGGGGACAGGGGACGGUGGCCGAGUCUCCAAAAAGCUCACGCCGGCUGUGCAGGACAGUGAGAAGCAGGGGGCACGUUCGGAGGAGCAACGACAGAUAGGACAGAUAGGCCCCAAGCGGCGGGGGGGGGGGGGGCCAGGGAGCUGGCGGGCAACAUGCGGUCGGGGCAGCGCCGUCUGCUGAGGACCACGGACACGGGCCCUGGGAGACGACAGGGGAGGGGGUGAGGGCGGGCACUGAGGUAGGACAAACGAGAAGCUGAUGAGGGGCCCUCAGAGAUUCGGGACCAUCAGGCUUAGAAGGGUUCAGAAACCCCCACGGAGAGCCCAGGGCAAGCAAGUGUGGCGUUGACGGGAGCAGCACACAGACGGAACCCAGGGUGCCCUCGGCGACCCCGGGACUGAGCCGGGGGCCGCCGAUGCUCCGGGUGAGGAGCACCCGCACGAGGACUGGCAGGGAGCCAGGGGCCAAACCAGGAGAGGGGGGCGUCCGGAAACCAAGUGGAAAAAGCGCUUCGAGAAUAGGGAGCGACCAGAGGCGUCAGGUUCCGCUGACAGGCCAGGGGACGUAGAGGCCCAGGAGUCAUCACGGGGUCUGGGGGAGAUGGGAGCCGAGGAGGGCAUCCGAGGAAGCGGGGCAGGGGCGGUGUCGAGAGGAAGCAAGAGACAUGGGAGCAGGACGAGGGAUGCUCACAAGUCCCCCGAGGGCUCCUGCUUGAGAACAAACAGGUCAAUGACUGAGGCAGAAGCACCUUUGAACAAAUUUGUGUUUUUCCUGGAAUUUCUCUUUUCUUUGCUUUAUUUGCCUCGAGUGCCUCCUUAACAUGUAGACAGGAAGGGGAUCGCGUCCGGGGAAGGUUCAAGAAAGGUGCCGUCCUAGCGCACACACGCGGAGACUGACCCCACAGAAAGGAACACGGUGAGGAAGCGAGGCGGAUGCGAAAUAAGAGUAGGACACGCACUGUGCGGGGGACAGGGUGGCUCUCCUACAGGGGGCCGUGCAGGGAACACGGGGCCACGUGGGUAGAGGUGCCGGCAGACGGAUACUCGGUGGCGGUGGAGAGACUCCACUGGGGCCGUGUGUCGUCAGCGGCAGAGGAGGCGCAGUCGGCAGCCGAGGGUGAAGGUGUCGGGGCCGAGGCAGAGGCCCGGGGGGCGCACAGGCGGGGACGCAAGGAGCACAGCACGGCUGCACCGGCCGCUGGGACCUCCCGGGACUCGUGGGCGCCAGCGUGGGAGAGGCCACAGCGUGGAGCGCACAGCCCCCCGGCCACCCUCCGGGCCCGAGGACGGGGCUGUUCAGAGGCGGGGUUUUGCCAGGCAGGGGCAGCAGGCCGAAAGGGCGGCGAGGGGGUAAUCGUGACGGCGGAUGACGCGGAAGCAGGGAGCAGGGAUGGGAAGGGGGACAAAGAACAGAAACAAGGUGGCAGACUCGGAGGGUGACGGGUGGUCCUGGAUGAGGCCAAACCACUUCGGGUGAAGUUAGGACUAAAAUCAGAUUGGCUCCAGACCACUGCUCGGUGACGCUGGGUGCCCGAAGAUAGGACAGCGAUGCCUUCAAAGUCCCGAAUGAAAAUUACUUUCCUCCUAGAAAUCUAUAAAAAGGGCAAACUGCAAAUGAACGUUUUCCGUAAGACCUUGGAAAAUUCACCUCCCACACGUCCUUUCUAAGAAAGCUGCUUGAGGGUACAGUCCAGUAACACAAGGGAGUAAACCAAGGAAGAGGGAACUACAGGAUCCACAAAACCAUGCUCUAACCCGGGAAAGCAGUGAUGCCCGUGACCAUGACUGUGCAGAAGACCUAAGGAACCACCAGUCAGACUGGGCAGUGUCCACGAGGGAGACACGCGGGGGAAGCGGGGGCGGGGGGUGGAGGGGGGCAAAAGAUCAAGCUUAAUCGGACAACGUAAAGACAUAGCCUGGUUUUGAAAAAAAAAAAAAAAAGACAAAGAUGAAGAAAUUCUUGGAAUAUUAAAAUUUGUUCUAAAGGCAAAAAUCCUAGAAACCACUCAACCCCCUCGGUGAACAGUAUUUACACGGUCCUAAUAACGUAAACAAUGUACUGAUUUUCAAAUUAAAGACAAAUUUUUUUUGUGAUGUUUCUUUUUUUGACAGAAUGCAAGCAGGGGAGAGUCAGAGAGAGAAGAAGACACAGAAUCUGAAGCAGUCUCCAGGUUGAGCUGUCAGCAUAGAGCCCGACGUGGGGCUCGAACCCAUGAGAUCAUGACCUGAGCCGAAGUCGGACACUUAACUGACUGAGCCACCCAGGUGCCCCAAUAAUGUACUGAUUUUCAACACAAAAAUACUAGGUAGGUAAGCACGGGGAGCUACUUAAUUUUGGCUACAGAACAGACUAUAAAUCUCCAAGCCUGGAUGACAGAACACAGGAGGGGAGGGCAGAAGGACUCCUGGAGGGGAAGUCAAAAGUAUUUAUAUCCUUCUUGCUUAUGAAGAAAGAGGUCAAGAGACAAUGUGUCCAGUUGACAAACCAACAAAUAAUGGUGAAAACACAUCAUGUCAAGUUACCAGGGCAAUGAUGGAAGAUCUAAAAAUUGUGACGGCGCCAGACUAGGAAGUGACAGUAUUACAUUAGAUCCAGUCUAUCUGUGUCUGUGACCAUAAAUCCUGAAGUCAACGGAUUAUGCCUGAACUUGAUCAGUUUAGUGACAUAAAGUCAUCCAUCGGAAGAAACUGUUAAAAGGCAGUGGUCUCAAAGGUGAAAAGAGGCAGGACGGGAAACAGCAGCUUUUAAUUCUUCUACUUUUAAGGUCAUUGGCACGAAUGAUCUUGACCAGCAUUUCACUUGACAAAAUUCCUUUGACACAGAUGCAAUUUACAUGCCUUUCUCCCACCCUGAAAGUCCUCUACUGAGAAAAGUAAGGCUGCCUCCCUCGAAGACUAAUUUCAGGAGCAGGCCUCUCACGUCUCAGGUUAGAGCUGCCAGAUGAAGCGUGGGGGGUGGGGAGUUGAAAAGUUUAAACCAAUCUUUCCACAAAAUAACGGAGAAGGAGAUGUGUCCUCUGGUGGUUCUCGGGACAUGCUCACAGAGCCCCGACAAACCCUUACUCCCAGAAGCACCGAAUGCCAUGCGGAGACACGCCCAGCAUGAAGCGGGGCUGACCGAGAGCCUCACCUGGCCACUCCGCCAUAAUCCAAACCUUCUUCUCCCCGGAACUUGACCAUCAGUCGCUUCUUCAGAUCCUUUGGCCGCAUCUUCAUGAUCUGGCGAUAAGACUCCUGCAUGGCAAAAAAAAAAAAAAAAAGACAGCGUCAGAGAGAAGAACGGGUCGCAUUCUUACUGUUCUACAGAGAUUCAAGGUUGUUGGUAAUGGAGCCCGAAUCAGGAUAAAUAGUCAUUUAAAUCUGAGUUUGAUCUGAUUCCUAGUCAGAAUGUUGGUCUGAUGUCCAGUGUCUGAUGUGGGGUAGCCCCUGUCGCCUGAUCUCCCCGGGUGUCCCUCAGGAACAAGGAGCUCGUGCCGGGCAACGUCGUACCCAAAGGAAACGCACACCCCCAUUUUCAGCACAAUCGCUAAAGGCCUAGGGACAGACAUCCUCACCAGAGUCCAUUUUCUCUACACAAAUUGAUUUUAAUGAGGCCAUACUAAGAACGACUUGUGUAUUGUAACCAAAAGGAAGAUGUCACUGGAGAAUCUGAAUAGUAAAAGAAUUCGGAGCCUGUUUUUGUAUCUGAGGUGAAAAAUCCCAUAAUUUCCAGGGGGUCAAAAAAAGCAAAAAAGUAUUUAAAGUAAGAUCUAUGGGGGAAUGCCUGGGUGGCUCAGUCUGUUAAGCGUCGGACUUCGGCUCAGGUCAUGAUCUCAUAGCGUGUGAGUUCAAGCCCCGUGUCAGGCUCUGUGCUGACAGCUCAGAGCCUGGAGCCUGCUUGGGAUUCUGUGUCUCCCUCUCUCUUGGCCCCUCCCCCGCUAGCGCUCUGUCUUUCUCUCUGAAAAAUAAAUUAAAAUGUUUUAAAAAUAAUUUUUUUAAUAAAGUAAGACCUAUGGGAGCUUACCCAAAACACAGAACACAGGCGGCUAGCCUAACCUUCAGCUACUUUUUUGUUUUAAGUGCAACUAGCUAAACGCUUGUAGAUAUUUUCAGUGAUAAGGCACUUCAGACUCUUCCCCUGCUUUCAAUUUAAUGUAAUUCAAGCCUUCCCAUCCCCAGAGGGAAAGGGGAUGCUGAGUGGAAAUGAUCUAGCAGCAAAAUGUGAAGAAUGCAGCUCUUUUCCCUCCCUGCUCAAUGGCCAUUCUGGCCAAUCCAUCCAUUCGCCUAACCGUCGUCUGUGGCCGAGCAUCGAACAUGGCCCUGGGCGCUUUCAGCGCCCAGUGAGGACGGCACUGGGCUGCCUGCCGCUGUGUCUUCAGGUCUCACCCAGCCUCUUUUGAUCACUCCUGCCCAUGAUUCCACAAAGGCAGGCAGGACGCAGCCCAAACAUCACCGAGACUUUACCUUCCAAUCACCUGCCUUGAGGAAAGGGCCCUGUCUACAGGAGGUCCCGCCUGUUUGGUGGCCUUGAUCCCACAGGGGAGCUGUCUGAAAGACAACCCUUUCCAGGAACCAUCGGAUCUUCCCAUUUCCAGAAAAGACAAUAAAGUGGCCACUUGGCCCCGAAGCUUCUCUGAGGAGGCGAUGCCCUUAGGUGAGAUGGCAAGAGCAGAAGGAGGGAUUGGUUCUGGAGAAACCAUGCGGACUGCAGGAAUAUAUAACCGGCACACAGAAGAGGAUUUACAGUGUUACUUAGUGCUAGUUUCUGUGUGAGUCUCUGUAUUUUCGUUUCAGAGGCUCUCUAGCUUUUAAACUCCUACCACAGGAGGAAGUCCAGUCUGUCUCUCUAUAUGGCCAUCAAUCCUGAAAAAGCCCUGCAAUUCGCUGAGUGAUAAAAUCGGUACCCGAAACACCAAACAGAAAGAACCUGCUGUCUGUCAACAGGGUUUAACAGUCUAUGCCUCCCUGCUGGUCGCGCCGAAUUCCAUACCUCAAAUAUUUCUUCUCUGGACACUUCGAUGCGGCAAUGACCAGCUUGGGGUUGCUGAAGCGAAAGCUCGUGUCUGAGGACCUUCAGCUUCUGGACUAAAUCCCUCUCGUAUCUCUGGGCGGGAAGCUCCUCAUCCUCCACCGAGCCCUCGCUGGGCAAUGGCAGCGGCUGGCUGGGCUCCUUUAGUUGGCACUGGUGACUUGAGAAGAACAGAAACAUCAAGGUCACCCCAAAAGUAGCGGCCCAGGGAGCCACAAGCAAUGCCCCCCACUGGUGAGGGACUGAGAAGCGGGCUCAUCACACAGAACUGCAAGAAGAGAUGUUCCCUCUGCUGACAUAACCAUGUAUGAAAAUACAUAAACACUGACAGUGGCCACCACUGGCCUAAAU
rnacentral:lncRNA from 1 species